AAGAAGGUGGCAGAGCGGUUAUGCGGUUAACUUGAAAUUAACCUAUGUGGGUUCGAUUCUCCCCCUUCUUG
rnacentral:tRNA from 1 species